AGGAAACCCAGUGCAGUGGAACUGUCAAGAAGCCCCGCAUGCUGGAAACCAGGACAGCAAAAACAAACUUGGCAGAAAGCUCACACAGCUCAGUCUCAGAUUCCAGAAGACCCCCGGUUAAGAGUCAGCAGAAAGAAGACCAGAUUGUUUUGGAGAAGGGUCUUUGAAGAAAGGUGGGCCUAGAGAUGGGUCAAGGAGAGAGAGAAACAGGGAAGGUACAGCAGACAUUUGGCUAGGCCUGGAGUGGAGGUGGUGCGCAGACGAGGAUCCCUUACAAGUAAUCAAAUAUGGCUUUCAUGAAGUGUGAGUAAAUAGAGGUCCCUCAGUUGUGUCUGACUCUUUGCGACCACAUGGACUGCAGCAUGCCAGGCUUCCC